UACGUAGGCAGCGAGCGUUGUUCGGAAUUACUGGGCGUAAAGAGUGUGUAGGCGGCUUGUCGCGUCGAAUGUGAAAUCUCAGGGCUCAACUCUGACAUUGCAUUCGAUACGGGCAGGCUCGAGUUCGGUAGGGGAGACUGGAAUUCCUGGUGUAGCGGUGAAAUGCGCAGAUAUCAGGAGGAACACCGGUGGCGAAGGCGGGUCUCUGGGCCGAUACUGACGCUGAGGAGCGAAAGCGUGGGGAGCGAACAGG
rnacentral:rRNA from 1 species